GAACGUGGAGAAUAUAAUUUUUAUUGGUGGUACAUUUUUUUAAAUCAACUAGGACUUCACUGAAAUUGUUAAAAACUGACCUGUACGCGACAAUAGGUGACAGAGAAACCUGGAGAUUAAUAAAGAUUUGGAGCAGGUGGUGUUUAAAUGUCACCUUCUGGCCUGAUUUUAAACUGGAUGGACAACCCUACACCCUCCCCCCACCUGUUGCUAGCGGCUGCUCUUAAACCUUUUUCUUCCUUACGAGAAAGAUGAGGUCAUCUGUUUGGAAAGUCAUUGCAUGGAAAAAACAGAGCACCGUCCAUCUGUCUCUUCUUAAGGUAAUGCUGGUUUUAAAAGUAGAGCAAGAAGACUAUUGACUGCACUUAUGUUAAGAAGCUGGUUAUGCUUCCAAAGUUGUGCUUUAUCCUGUUACCUUGCAAGGUAAUUUACUAUUUUACUGUGUUUACAUACCAAUAACUGUACUUCAGUCACACUAUGAAUAGAUAUGUUGCUAAACGAGGAUUCCUCUGAGCAUCAGCGCUCAUUUGACCUGUCACUGAAGAUUGAAUA